CGACUACUCCCUCCGUUCCAAAUUACUCGUCGCAGAAAUGGAUAUAUCUAGAACUAAAAUACAUCUAGAUACAUCCAUACCUGCGACAAGUAAUUCGGAACGGAGGGAGUACAUC
rnacentral:pre_miRNA from 1 species